rnacentral:rRNA from 1 species
UACGUAGGUGGCAAGCGUUGUCCGGAUUUACUGGGCGUAAAGAGCGCGCAGGCGGCCGAGUAAGUCGAAUGUGAAAGCCCCUGGCUCAACUGGGGAAGGUCAUUCGAUACUGUUCGGCUCGAAGAUAGGAGAGGGAAGCGGAAUUUCAGGUGUAGUGGUGAAAUGCGUAGAUAUUGGGAAGAACACCUGAGGCGAAGGCGGGUUGCUGGGCCGACACUGACGCUGAUGCGCGAAAGCCAGGGGAGCGAACGGG